UACAGAGGGGGCAAGCGUUGUUCGGAAUUACUGGGCGUAAAGGGCGCGUAGGCGGCCUUCUAAGUCGAACGUGAAAUCCCCGGGCUCAACCCGGGAACUGCGUCCGAUACUGGAAGGCUUGAAUCCGGGAGAGGGAUGCGGAAUUCCGAGGUGUAGCGGUGAAAUGCGUAGAUAUCUGGAGGAACACCGGUGGCGAAGGCGGCAUCCUGGACCGGCAUUGA
rnacentral:rRNA from 1 species